rnacentral:rRNA from 1 species
CAAUAGCAUAUAUUAAAGUUGUUGCGGUUAAAAAGCUCGUAGUUGGAUUUCUGUUGGGAACGACCGGUCCGCCCAUUGGGUGUGUAUCUGGCUUGUUCUCGGCAUCUUCUUGGUGAACGUUGCUGCACUUGACUGUGUGGAGCGCUACCCAGGACUUUUACUUUGAGGAAAUUAGAGUGUUUCAAGCAGGCAUAUGCCUUGAAUACAUUAGCAUGGAAUAAUAAGAUAGGACCUCGGUUCUAUUUUGUUGGUUUCUAGAGCUGAGGUAAUGAUUAAUAGGGAUAGUUGGGGGCAUUCGUAUUUAACUGUCAGAGGUAAAAUUCUUGGAUUUGUUAAAGACGGACUACUGCGAAAGCAUUUGCCAAGGAUGUUUUCAUUGA